UAGGGAAUCUUCGGCAAUGGACGGGAGUCUGACCGAGCAACGCCGCGUGAGUGAAGAAGGUUUUCGGAUCGUAAAGCUCUGUUGUAAGAGAAGAACGAGUGUGAGAGUGGAAAGUUCACACUGUGACGGUAUCUUACCAGAAAGGGACGGCUAACUACGUGCCAGCAGCCGCGGUAAUACGUAGGUCCCGAGCGUUAUCCGGAUUUAUUGGGCGUAAAGCGAGCGCAGGCGGUUAGAUAAGUCUGAAGUUAAAGGCUGUGGCUUAACCAUAGUACGCUUUGGAAACUGUUUAACUUGAGUGCAAGAGGGGAGAGUGGAAUUCCAUGUGUAGCGGUGAAAUGCGUAGAUAUAUGGAGGAACACCGGUGGCGAAAGCGGCUCUCUGGCUUGUAACUGACGCUGAGGCUCGAAAGCGUGGGGAGCAAACAGGAUUAGAUACCCUGGUAGUCCACGCCGUAAACGAUGAGUGCUAGGUGUUAGACCCUUUCCGGGGUUUAGUGCCGUAGCUAACGCAUUAAGCACUCCGCCUGGGGAGUACGACCGCAAGGUUG
rnacentral:rRNA from 1 species